UAUUUUGGACAAUUGGCGCAAGCCUGAUUCAUCGAUGCCGCGUGAGUGAAGAAGGCUUUCGGUCUGUCCAGCUCUUUCGGAAGGAAAGAAAUCGCGCAGACCAAUAUCCUGAGAGGCUGCCGAUACCGUCAUAACAAGCCCCGGCUAACUAAGUGACAGCAGCCGCGGUAAUACGUAGGGUGCGAGUGUUAAUCGGAAUUACUGGGCGUAAAGCGUGCGCAGGCGGUUGAUUAAGACAGGCGUGAAAUCCCCGGGCUUAGCCUGGGAACUGAGCUUGUGACUGGUCAGCUAGAGUACAGCAGAGGGGGGUGGAAUUCCACGUGUAGCAGUGAAAUGCGUAGAGAUGUGGAGGAACACCGAUGGCGAAGGCAGCCCCCUGGACCGAUACUGACGCUCAUGCACGAAAGCGUGGGUAGCAAACAGA
rnacentral:rRNA from 1 species